GGCAACGUCCAAAUGACGUUGAAACUACCAGUUCUCGUCUGAUAACUGCAGUCCAGCAACGUUGAGUACGAUUAGUACUUGGAUGGGAGACCGAUUGGGAACACCGUGUGAUGUUGCCU
rfam:Atta colombica isolate Treedump-2 unplaced genomic scaffold scaffold140, whole genome shotgun sequence.